CUUACUCGAAAAACUGUAACGUCGAGCCGGCGGUUAAAGUGUUAUCAUAGGCUCUCCAUCCCCUACUCCGACCCAAUAUGUCUCCGUCGUACGGAACGCAUAUAUCUCAAAUAUCUAAGCUGAGGGGCAACCCAAUCCCUUGGGUGGAUGGAAUGCAUUGUCAACUUGUGAGGG
rnacentral:ribozyme from 1 species